rnacentral:rRNA from 1 species
UACGGGGGGAGCAAGCGUUGUUCGGAUUUACUGUGCGUAAAGGGCGCGUAGGCGGUCAGCACAAGUCAGUUGUGAAAUCUCCGGGCUUAACUCGGAAAGGUCAACUGAUACUGUGCGACUAGAGUGCAGAAGGGGCAACUGGAAUUCUCGGUGUAGCGGUGAAAUGCGUAGAUAUCGAGAGGAACACCUGCGGCGAAGGCGGGUUGCUGGGCUGACACUGACGCUGAGGCGCGAAAGCCAGGGGAGCGAACGGG